UCAGCCGGCCGGACGGCCGCUUCGCCAGUGGCGGAGAGGAAAGUCCGGGCUCCAUGGACAUGCGGUGCCGGAUAACGUCCGGCGGGGGUAACCCCAGGGAAAGUGCCACAGAAAACAAACCGCCGCGACCUCUGUUUGGCGCUCCGCGGAGGGCCUGCAGGAUGCGCGGCAAGGGUGAAACGGUGCGGUAAGAGCGCACCGCGCCAGCGGCAACGCCGGCGGCACGGCAAACCCCACCGGGAGCAAAACCGUAUAGGGACGGCGUGGAGCUUGCCUCCAGGAUCGAUGUCCGGAUCCGGCCGUCCGGGUAGGUUGCUCGAAGCGCCGGGCGACCGGCGCUCCAGAGGAAUGGCCGUCACGUGCCAGUUUCGCGACUGGCGCCACACAGAACCCGGCUUACAGGCCGGCUGAGAUG
rnacentral:RNase_P_RNA from 1 species